rnacentral:lncRNA from 1 species
GGGGAAGAAAAAAGGAAAAAAAGAAGUGUCAAGAGCAGACAGAAAUGUAAAUUUGAUCAAUGUCCUGAGGGAAAAUCUGUACGUGUGUGUGUGUGUGUUCUUUUUUGCUAGCUUAGUCUGGUGUCACUGAUGGUCAGUUAUUGAUAAGUAUUUAUUAUUUAAAUUUUUGAUGAAGUUGUUUGUAGUGGGGUUAGCUGGCUAAUUUUAGAGUGUUAAAAAAGAUGUUAGAGGGGGAGGAUUUAGGGGGCACGGCGGUUCCCCUUCAGGUCUCUCUUAAUCCUCCAUAUAGGUGACCCAACAGGGGUUACCCCCCGGCCGGGGUAGGCCUAGGCUGAAGAUCACCUAUUUGUCCUCUGUGAAGGUGAAAAUAAAGGGGCAGGGGAGGGAAUAAGAAAGAGGGGGUGUGUUAGAGAGAGGGGGAGAGAUGAGGUAGAGAGAGAGAGAGAGGGUGAGAGAGAGGGGGAAGAGGGAAAGAGGGAGAGAGAGGGGGGGGGAGUGUGUGUGUGUGUGUGUGAGAGAGAGAGAGGGAGAGAGAGAGAGAGAAGGGAAGAGGGAGAGGGGGGUUUAAGGGAGAGGUGGAGAUGGUGGAAAAUAAAGAUUGGUGAGGGGGAUUUGGUGGCGGAUGAAACAUCCCAUAGCUCCCCAGCUCUCACCAUCCAUGUGAGGAGAGUGAGCAAGGGACAUAGUCCCCCGACCCAACUAGGUCUAGGCUCUGCUCUCCUCACGGUCCUCACAAGAUACAAAGAGAUAUGUAAACGUGGAAGUGAGAGUUCUCUAGGCAGAGUUUUGGGUUUGGUUUGAGCUGAGUUGUUCAGUUGAUUAUUGAUUACUAUUUUAAGUUCUAAAAGUGGAUAGAGUCAAAAAGUCACAGAGGAUUGUGGCGGGAGCAGGUGGUCCGUCUGGCACCAUUCUGCUCAUGCAGGGAUUCGAGUGAUAGAAAGAGAAUAGAUCUUGCCACCGUGACUCGCCAUUGAGACUCUCCUCACCUGCUGGUUUUCAUACUCUGAUAGGAGAGAGAGGUACAGAUCAGGAGAGAGGGAGAAAAGGAGGGAGGCAGGGUGGGAUCAGGAGUUAAUUUGUCUUGAAAAGUAUUUAUCUUUUCGUCAUUGCUGUUAGGGUUUAGAUGUUUUUUGUUUAGUUAUCUGAGGAAUGUAGUGUUGGUAUAGGUUCCAAGGUGGAGGAUUCUUUGGAAUUCACUCUCACCGUUGACCCUGGAAGAUCUUAGAUCCUAUAAAGGGGGGGGGGGUUGGGGAGGGGGUGGGAGGUUGUGUGCACAGAAGGAGCAUGGGCUCAGACUAUUCUCGGAAUGAUAUUGUGACAAAUCUGUCCGUAGGCAGCUGGCUGGUUAGGUGUGGGUAAGAGAUACAGUGAUAGCCCCCGCUUUCGUCUGUUGACUUGGCGGUUUGGGGUAGGCUAAUCAAGGGCUUGCACUGGCCGGCGCAUGUCGACCUGUCACAUGUUCCCAGUCGAGUCUCCGAGCUCAUUCUGUGUGUAAAAAUUAUGUGUUGGUAGGAAGUUUAAUGACUCAGCUCAAUUGGUAUGCUAUGCUAUCUAUCUUUUAGACUAUGUGUUUGUAGAGCAAUAUUAUGUAUAUAUUGUUACAGGGCUAGGUAAAGGUUAAAGGUUUUGGGCGUUAGGGUUAAAAUCACUGUCCAAAACCUUUGUAGGAACUCUUUUCCAACCUUUUGGAGAUAACUAGACCAAAAAAAAACGAAAAAUGAAAAAAAAAUGUUUGGGGUGUGAGGGCUUCCUUAAGGUAUCAGGUUCGGUGAUAGGCUAAGGUUUAAGGUUUUUAGCGUUAGGGUUAAAAUCACUGUCCAAUGUUUUUUAAGGAACAUGUUUCAGACCUUUUGGAGUUAGUUAGACCAAAAAAAACGAAAAAUAAAAAUAAAAAAUUUUGGUGUGGUAGGGCAUCCUUAAGGUAAUACCUGGGUAUUAGGUUACCGGGCUAGGUAAAGGUUAAAGGUUUUUGGCGUUAGGGUUAAAAUCAUUGUUUAAUAUUUUUAAGGAACAUGUUUCGGACCUUUUGGAGUUAGUUAGAACAAAAAAAAUCGAAAAAUGAAAAAAAAAAUGUUUGGGGUGUUAAGGCUUCCUUAAAGUAUUAGGUUACGGGGUUGGGUAAGGUUUAAGGUUUUUGGCGUUAGGGUUAAAUUCACUGUCCAAAACCUUUGUACGAACUCUUUUCCAACCUUUUGGAGUCAGUUAGACCAAAAAAAAUGAAAAAUGAAAAAAAAAAUAUUUGGGGUUUUCGGGCUUCCUGAAGGUAAGACCCAGGUAUGAGGUUGUGGGGCUAAGAUGAGGUUUAAGGUUUUUGGCGUUAGGGUUAAAAUCACUGUCCAAAACCUUUUUAGGAACAUGUUCAGACCAUUUAGAGUUAGUAAGACCAAAAAAAAGGAAAAAUGAAAAAAAAAUGUUUGGGGUUUUAAGGCGGAAGCCUUAACAUUUUUUUUUCAUUUUUCCUUUUUUAAGGUAAUACCCGGGUAUUAGGUUAAGGGGUUAGGGUAAAGUUUAAGGUUUUUAGCAUUUGGGUUAAAAUCACUGUCCAAUAUUUUUUUAGGAACAUGUUUAAGAUCUUUUGGAGUUAGACAAAAAAAAGCGAAAAAGGAAAAAAGAAUAUUUGGGGUGUUCAGACUUCGUGAAGGUAAUACCCGGGUAUUAGGUUAUGGGGCUAGGGGAAGGUUUAAGGUUUUUGGCGUUAAGGUUAAAAUCAAUGUCCAAAACCUUUUUAGGAACAAGUUUCAGACCUUUUGGAGUCAGUUUGACCAAAAAAAUAGGAAAAAUGAAAAAAAAUGUUUGGGGUGUAAAGGAUUCCUUAAGGUAAUACCCAGGUAUUAGGUUAAGGGGCUAGGGUAAGGUUUAAGGUUUUAGUAUUAGUGUUAAAAUCACUUUCCAGUAUUUUUUAAGGAACAAGUUUCAGACCUUUUGGAGUUAGUUACACCAAAAAAAAAAUUAAAAAAAAAAAAAAAUUUUUUUUGGGGGGUGUUAAGGCUUCUUAAAGGUAAUACCCGGGUAUCAGGUUCCGGGGCUAGGGUAAGGUUUAAGGUUUUUGGCGUUAGGGUUAAAAUCACUGUGCAAAACCUUUUAGGAACAUGUUUCAGACCUUUUGCAGUUGGUUAAACCAAAAAAAAAAAAGUAAAAUGAAAAAAAAAUAUUUGGGGUGUUCGGGCUUCCUGAAGGUAAUACCCGGGUAUUAGGUUAUGGGGCUAGGGUAAGGUUUAAGGUUUUUGGCGUUAGGGUUAAAAUCACUGUCCAAAACCUUUCUAGGAACUCUUUUCCAACCUUUUGGAGUUAGUUUGACCAAAAAAAAUGUAAAAUGAAAAAAAAAUAUUUGGGGUGUUCGGGCUUCCUGAAAUAGGUUAUGGGGCUAUGGUAAGGUUUAAGGUUUUAGUAUUAGGGUUAAAAUCACUUUCCAGUAUUUUUUAAGGAACAAGUUUCAGACCUUUUGGAGUUAGUUACACCAAAAAAAAAUAAAAAAAAAAUUAAAAUUUUUUUUUUGGGUGAUAAGGCUUCUUAAAGGUAAUACCCGGGUAUCAGGUUCCGGGGCUAGGGUAAGGUUUAAGGUUUUUGGCGUAAGGGUUAAAAUCACUGUCAAAAACCUUUUUAGGAACAAGUUUCAGACCUUUUGGAGUUAAUUAGACCAAAAAAAUGUAAAAUGAAAAAAAAAAAAUAUUUGGGGUGUUCCGGCUUCCUGAAAUAGGUUAUGGGGCUAGGCUAAGGUUUAAGGUUUUUGGCGUUAGGGUUAAAAUCACUGUCCAAAACCUUUGUAGGAACUCUUUUCCAACCUU